rnacentral:rRNA from 1 species
GGAAUAUUGGACAAUGGGGGCAACCCUGAUCCAGCCAUGCCGCGUGCGUGAAGAAGGCCUUAGGGUUGUAAAGCGCUUUCACUGGUGAAGAUGAUGACGGUAGCCAGAGAAGAAGCCCCGGCUAACUCCGUGCCAGCAGCCGCGGUAAUACGAAGGGGGCUAGCGUUGUUCGGAAUUACUGGGCGUAAAGGGCGCGUAGGCGGAUCGGCCAGUCAGGGGUGAAAUCCCGGGGCUCAACCUCGGAACUGCCUUUGAUACUGCCGAUCUAGAGUCUGUGAGAGGGUGGCGGAAUACCCAGUGUAGAGGUGAAAUUCGCAGAUAUUGGGUAGAACACCAGUGGCGAAGGCGGCCACCUGGCACAGUACUGACGCUGAGGCGCGAAAGCGUGGGGAGCA